rnacentral:rRNA from 1 species
AACACAUGCAAGUCGAGGGGAAACGGCAUCAAGCGCUUGCGCCUGAUGGACGUCGACCGGCGCACGGGUGAGUAACGCGUAUCCAACCCGCCCCACACUAAGGGAUAACCCGCAGAAAUGUGGACUAAUACCUUAUAUUUUCCACCAAGGGCAUCGUCGAUGGAACAAAGAUUUAUCGGUAUGGGAUGGGGAUGCGUCCGAUUAGGUUGUUGGCGGGGUAACGGCCCACCAAGCCUUCGAUCGGUAGGGGUUCUGAGAGGAAGGUCCCCCACAUAGGAACUGAGACACGGUCCUAACUCCUACGGGAGGCAGCAGUGAGGAAUAUUGGUCAAUGGGCGUGAGCCUGAACCAGCCAAGUAGCGUGCAGGAAGACGGCCCUAUGGGUUGUAAACUGCUUUUAUGCGGGGAUAAAGGAGUCCACGUGUGGAUUUUUGCAGGUACCGCAUGAAUAAGGACCGGCUAAUUCCGUGCCAGCAGCCGCGGUAAUACGGAAGGUCCGGGCGUUAUCCGGAUUUAUUGGGUUUAAAGGGAGCGUAGGCCGCGUUUUAAGCGUGUUGUGAAAUGUAGACGCCCAACGUCUGCAUCGCAGCGCGAACUGGGACGCUUGAGUACGCGCAACGUUGGCGGAAUUCGUCGUGUAGCGGUGAAAUGCUUAGAUAUGACGAGGAACUCCGAUUGCGAAGGCAGCUGACGGGAGCGGCACUGACGCUUAAGCUCGAAGGUGCGGGUAUCAAACAGGAUUAGAUACCCUGGUAGUCCGCACAGUAAACGAUGGAUGCCCGCUGUGUGCCAUUUAUGGUACGCGG